CACGUAGGGGGCGAGCGUUGUCCGGAUUCAUUGGGCGUAAAGGGCUCGUAGGCGGUCUGUUGCGUCAGGAGUGAAAACUCGGGGCUUAACCCCGAGCCUGCUUCCGAUACGGGUGGACUAGAGGUAGGUAGGGGAGAACGGAAUUCCUGGUGUAGCGGUGAAAUGCGUAGAUAUCGUAAGGAAGACCAGUGGCGAAGGCGGGUCUCUGGACAGUUCCUGACGCUGAGGCACGAAGGUCAGGGGAGCAAACGGGA
rnacentral:rRNA from 1 species